GAUGAACGCUGGCGGCGUGCCUAAUACAUGCAAGUCGAGCGAACAGACGAGGAGCUUGCUCCUCUGACGUUAGCGGCGGACGGGUGAGUAACACGUGGAUAACCUACCUAUAAGACUGGGAUAACUUCGGGAAACCGGAGCUAAUACCGGAUAGUAUAUUGAACCGCAUGGUUCAAUAGUGAAAGACGGUUUUGCUGUCACUUAUAGAUGGAUCCGCGCCGCAUUAGCUAGUUGGUAAGGUAACGGCUUACCAAGGCAACGAUGCGUAGCCGACCUGAGAGGGUGAUCGGCCACACUGGAACUGAGACACGGUCCAGACUCCUACGGGAGGCAGCAGUAGGGAAUCUUCCGCAAUGGGCGAAAGCCUGACGGAGCAACGCCGCGUGAGUGAUGAAGGUCUUCGGAUCGUAAAGCUCUGUUAUUAGGGAAGAACAAAUGUGUAAGUAACUAUGCACGUCUUGACGGUACCUAAUCAGAAAGCCACGGCUAACUACGUG
rnacentral:rRNA from 1 species